UACGAAGGGGGCUAGCGUUGUUCGGAAUUACUGGGCGUAAAGCGCGCGCAGGCGGUCUUACAAGUCAGUGGUGAAAGCCUGGAGCUCAACUCCAGAACUGCCAUUGAAACUGUUAGACUUGAGUACGAGAGAGGUGAGUGGAAUUCCCAGUGUAGAGGUGAAAUUCGUAGAUAUUGGGAAGAACACCGGUGGCGAAGGCGGCUCACUGGCUCGUAACUGACGCUCAGGCGCGACAGCGUGGGGAUCAAACAGG
rnacentral:rRNA from 1 species